rnacentral:rRNA from 1 species
ACGGGUGAGUAACACGUGGAUAACCUACCUAUAAGACUGGGAUAACUUCGGGAAACCGGAGCUAAUACCGGAUAACAUAUUGAACCGCAUGGUUCAAUAGUGAAAGGCGGCUUUGCUGUCACUUAUAGAUGGAUCCGCGCCGUAUUAGCUAGUUGGUAAGGUAACGGCUUACCAAGGCAACGAUACGUAGCCGACCUGAGAGGGUGAUCGGCCACACUGGAACUGAGACACGGUCCAGACUCCUACGGGAGGCAGCAGUAGGGAAUCUUCCGCAAUGGGCGAAAGCCUGACGGAGCAACGCCGCGUGAGUGGUGAAGGUCUUCGGAUCGUAAAACUCUGUUAUCAGGGAAGAACAAAUGUGUAAGUAACUGUGCACAUCUUGACGGUACCUGAUCAGAAAGCCACGGCUAACUACGUGCCAGCAGCCGCGGUAAUACGUAGGUGGCAAGCGUUAUCCGGAAUUAUUGGGCGUAAAGCGCGCGUAGGCGGUUUUUUAAGUCUGAUGUGAAAGCCCACGGCUCAACCGUGGAGGGUCAUUGGAAACUGGAAAACUUGAGUGCAGAAGAGGAAAGUGGAAUU